rnacentral:lncRNA from 1 species
GUUCACCGCCGAAGUCACACAGCGCCUCUGGAAGUUUUGUGACAUUAAGCCGGUCAUUAGUUCCCCUUACCACCCCCAGACGAAUGGGCUCUGCGAACGUUUCAACGGUACAUUGAAACAAAUGCUCCGAACCUUCGCAGAGACCCACAAGGACUGGGAGAAGUUCCUGCCGCACCUCCUCUUUGCUUACCGGGAGGUGCCGCAGGAAUCCACUGGGUUCUCC